UUCUUCUAUUGAUAGUAGUCUUUGCUAUCACUUUUUCAUUUAAAUUUUUACCUGUUGAAUUUAUUUUGGCAUAAGAACUUAGAAAAGAACAUUAUUUUAUUUUUAUUUCCCAAGAAGCUAUUCAGUUGCACCAACAUAAUCUUAUGUAUUCUAUCUUUUCCCGCUGGAUUUGAUAUGACACCUUUAAUAUACAGGUAUAAUAAUUUCCCAUAUGAAUUAGGUCUAUUUACGACUUUCUUUUCUGUUCUAGAGAUUAUUUUCUGUUGAUUCAUCCAAAGAAGUAAUAUUUUUCAAUGAAUUCCAUUGAAGUAUAGCAUGAAUACAGAAAAGUGUGCAAAUGACUUGAGAAUGCUCAUUUUCUUUGGAAUCACAAUAACAACAAACUGGGUCAAGAAGGAAUGGCUGCCAAGGAGCCAUCUGCAAAUCCUGUCUUUGGUAAACCCUUUGACCUCUCUGAAGCCUAAUUUCUCUAAUAUCAACUGUAUAUUUUCCACAAUAUUAUUAUGAGGAUUAAAAAGUUAAUGUAUGUGAAACAGAAAUGAAAACCAUAGAUCACAACAGAAAUCUUAAGGAUUGUUGUGGAUCAUAAGCCAUCUGAAUUGUUUUUGAUCUCAAAUUUUUGCAAGCCUGGCUACUUCUCAUCAUUUAGGUUUUAACUUAAAUGUCAUCUCCUCAGAGAGGGCUUCCCUGAAGAAUUGAUCGAAAGUAGAAAUCAGAGCCUCUGCCAGUUACUCCCUGCCUUCUACCUUUUUUAUACCACUCAUAACAAUCUAAAAUUAAUCCAAAAUUAACCUACUUUUCAGUUAUGUGAGCUUUUUUUUUUUUUGUUCCAGUCCCCCAAUACUGUAAUGUGAGCUCUAUGUGGCAGGGACUGUUGUUUAUUGUAUUCAUUGUUGUUUAUUGUAUUCAUUGCUGACUGCCAGUGUCUGGGACAUUGCAAUGAAGACAUGUGCUCUCCACAAUCGCUCUUGUUUUCAUGCAUGUCUAUUCAAAUGAAUUUAGGUCUUGCAGCUACAUCAAGCUGAACAUUUUCAUAUAACUUUCUAUGUGUUCAGUAACAAAAGGUCUUCGGAAAGCAACUCGUUCCUGAUGGCAAAUCUUAUCCAAAAGAGAAUGGUUCUCUCUGUGGAGUCAUUUUCAUGUCAGAUAAAGUUUCUUUACUCAAAAUGCUGCACAGAAUUCAUCUGUCUCCAGAGAACCAGAAGAGAGAUUUAUUUUUUGAUUCUCCCUGUUAAAGUAGUUAAGAUAAUUUAGACGGCUGUUUUGGCAUUUCUCUCUCCAGAGUCAGCCUGGAGUUACGAUCGUAAAGCUAGGAGGUCAGUCUGGCACUCUCAAAUGGCAUGAUUGUACUUCAUAGGUUAAAAGACUGGGUAAUUGAUCCUAUUAAGUGAAGAAUCCCAACGUUUAUGUGUUUAGGGAGCUAAAAUAUCCUUGCCUUACAAAAUGAAUGAAUUAAACCCCGUGGUUAUAGCCACUUGUGAAGUCUCACACAUCUAGCCUCCCACUGGCCUCCUGGUUUUAUGGCUAGUGCUCUUCCCGUCAUUCCUUCAUCCCAGCCACAUUGGCCUCCUUGCUGUUCCUCCAGUCCUCCGACGCCCUAACCCCAGGAAAACACAAGGCUUGCUCCCACGUAUCUUCAGGUUUUAGCUCAAAUGUCGCCCUAGCAGAGACAUCUUCCUUACCACCCUGUUUAAAAUCACAAAACCUUGCUGUGCACUCUCUACCUCCUUCCUUGUUUCUUUACUGUUUUUCCCAUAACAUUUGUGAUCAUCUGACAUACUUCAUAAUUUACUUAUUAAUUUCUUCAUUGUGGACAAGGAUUUUUGUAUGUUCACUGAUAGGUACUGUUGGCACAUG
rnacentral:lncRNA from 1 species